rnacentral:rRNA from 1 species
GAUGAACGCUGGCGGCGUGCCUAAUACAUGCAAGUCGAGCGAACAGACGAGGAGCUUGCUCCUCUGACGUUAGCGGCGGACGGGUGAGUAACACGUGGAUAACCUACCUAUAAGACUGGGAUAACUUCGGGAAACCGGAGCUAAUACCGGAUAAUAUAUUGAACCGCAUGGUUCAAUAGUGAAAGACGGUUUUGCUGUCACUUAUAGAUGGAUCCGCGCCGCAUUAGCUAGUUGGUAAGGUAACGGCUUACCAAGGCAACGAUGCGUAGCCGACCUGAGAGGGUGAUCGUCCAGACUGGAACGGAGACACUGUCCAGAAGACGACGGGAUGCAGAAGUAGGGAAGCUUCAGCAAUGGGCGCAAGCCUGACGGAGCAACGCCGCGUGAGGGAUGAAGGUCUUCGGAUCGUAAAACUCUGCUAUUAGGGAAGAACAUAUGUGUAAGUAACGGUGCACAGCUGGACGGUACCGAAUCAGAAAGCCACGGCUAACUACGUG